rnacentral:ncRNA from 1 species
GACACGCAAACUUCUCAACAGGCCGUACCAAUAUCCGCAGCUGGUCUCCAAGGUGAAGAGUCUCUAGUCGAUAGAAUAAUGUAGGUAAGGGAAGUCGGCAAAUUAGAUCCGUAACUUCGGGAUAAGGAUUGGCUCUGAAGAUUGAGAUAGUCGGGCUUGAUUGGGAAACAAUAACAUGGUUUAUGUGCUCGUUCUGGGUAAAUAGAGUUUCUAGCAUUUAUGUUAGUUACUUGUUCCCCGGAUAGUUUAGUUACGUAGCCAAUUGUGGAACUUUCUUGCUAAAAUUUUUAAGAAUACUAUUUGGGUUAAACCAAUUAGUUCUUAUCAAUUAUAACGAUUAUCAAUUAACAAUCAAUUCAGAACUGGCACGGACUUGGGGAAUCCGACUGUCUAAUUAAAACAAAGCAUUGUGAUGGCCCUAGCGGGUGUUGACACAAUGUGAUUUCUGCCCAGUGCUCUGAAUGUCAAAGUGAAGAAAUUCUGGGGGGGGAUCUGGGGUAAUUGCGAGCAGAGGGGGAGUAUUUUUCUGUAAUUCGUAAGUCAUAUCAUAUGGUGUGCGGAAGGGGAAUUUUACUCUGUAACUCACAAGUCUCUCCUUUACUCAAGUCGACUCAAAACCUCCUCGUGGUGGUCCCCGGUAAUGCUAAACUUGUUUAGCAGCUAAUUUGAGCGGCAAAAACUUUUUCCGAUGGGCUGGUUACCCAGAGGAAAUUUACUCAUAUUGGAACUACGAACACAAAUAACGAGCCUCGGAUAUCUUUACACAAUCUGAUGACGACCCGACCCUCCGUGGAUAUCUUCCCGGAGGACCAAUAUGAACCAAACGCAGCGGCUACUCUAUCUAGGGUUCCCUGCACAGUAUGUGGCCGGUCCUUUAACAGCAAGAGAGGACUCGGUGUUCACAUGCGAUCUCGGCACCCAGACGAACUUGAUGAAGAACGUCGACGUGUCGAUAUAAAGGCAAGGUGGAGUGAGGAAGAGAAGUGGAUGAUGGCGAGAAAGGAGGUUGAGCUCACAGCAAAUGGACAUAAACACAUGAACAAGCAACUAGCGGUGUAUUUUGCAAACCGCAGCGUCGAAGCCAUCAAAAAGCUAAGACAGAGGGGCGAUUAUAAGGAGAAAAUAGAGCAGAUAAGAGGGCAAUCUGCUCUCGUCCCGGAAGUUGCAAAUCUAACCAUAAGGCGCCGCCCUAGUAGAAGUGAGCAAAACCACCAAGUAACAACAUCAGAAACAACUCCAAUCACUCCCUUCGAACAGUCGAACAGGGAAAUUU